rnacentral:rRNA from 1 species
UAAACUGGGAUUAGAUACCCCAUUAUUUUAAAUUAUAAAUUGAUUAAUUUUUCUACCUAAGUAUUAUGAACUUUUGUUUGAAAUUUAAAGGACUUGGCGGUAUCUUAGACUACUUAGGGGAACCUGUUUUUUAAUCGAUAAUCCUCGUUUUACCUUACCUUUUUUUGUUUUCAGUUUGUAUACCGUCGUCGUCAGUUAACUUUGGAGGAGGUAGAAGUUGUCUUUUUAAAUUUUAGUUUUAGAUGUCAGAUCAAGGUGCAGCUUAUGAAUUGGUAAAUAUGGGUUACAAUUAUUUAAUUAUAAUUUAUGGAUAAUUUUAUGUAAUUAUUAUUUGAAGGAGGACUUAAAAGUAAUUUAAUUUAGAUAUAUUUAAUGAAUGCAGCUCUUGGAUGUGCACACACCGCCCGUCACCCUCA